UACGAAGGGGGCUAGCGUUGUUCGGAAUCACUGGGCGUAAAGCGCACGUAGGCGGAUUGUUAAGUCGGGGGUGAAAUCCUGGAGCUCAACUCCAGAACUGCCUUCGAUACUGGCAAUCUCGAGUCCGGAAGAGGUAAGUGGAACUCCUAGUGUAGAGGUGGAAUUCGUAGAUAUUAGGAAGAACACCAGUGGCGAAGGCGGCUUACUGGUCCGGUACUGACGCUGAGGUGCGAAAGCGUGGGGAGCAAACAGG
rnacentral:rRNA from 1 species